AAACAACCUAUAUAAAAGAUUGAAUCCAAAAUAAAACCUAAAUCUCAUAAAACCAAAAUUGAAUAGUCAAACCCAUGCGAAUCAAGAAACUACAUAAGGGAUACAAAUCAGUGGAGGAAGUUCUACACAAUGGUCACCAUAAAAUGUUGAGAAGGGUCCACAAAUUACCUAAUCGAAGCUAGUCCGAUGUAACUCUGGUGAUGGAAUGAUGUAACAACUUCAACGAGAGGGGUGGUAAGCACGUACGAAGGUCCAUGAAGAAUGAAUGAGAUCCUAGCCUUUCAAGGAUGUGCCCUGUCAUCAUGCGCCAACCACGUUUUUCUCUUUGAGGUAGCAUGUAUACCAGGUGUAUGCAAUGCUCCCUCUUACAUCCUCUUAUUGGAGAAUUUUCAAUUAGAUUUUCUUGGGUUUAUGCAUGUAACAUGACGAUAUGCUUGGCUUAGAGUUACGUGUUGAAUGUAUUUGGCUAAACACAAUGUAAUUAAUGAUUCAUAGAAUACGAUGCACAAGGUCUUCAAAAAUGGUUUGGUUCAAAUUUUGUAAUUGGAAUUUGUAAAUGAAUGGAGUUUCUUACGUGA